rnacentral:rRNA from 1 species
GAUGAACGCUGGCGGUAUGCUUUACACAUGCAAGUCGUACGAAAGUGUUAAAACUUUAGGUGGCGGACGGGUGAGUAACACGUGAGAAUUUACCUUUAGGAGGGGAAUAACAGUUGGAAACGACUGCUAAUGCCGCAUAUCNUAAAUAUGAAAGAAGAAAUUCGCCUAAAGAAAAGCUUGCGUCUGAUUAGCUAGUUGGUAAGGGUAAAGGCCUACCAAGGCGACGAUCAGUAGCUGGUUUGAGAGGACGACCAGUCACACUGGAACCGAGACACGGUCCAGACUCCUACGGGAGGCAGCAGUGGGGAAUUUUCUGCAAUGGGCGAAAGCCUGACAGAGCAAUACCGCGUGAGGGAAGAAAGCCCACAGGGUUGUAAACNUCUUUUAUCAAGGANGAAGUUCUGACGUUACUUGAUGAAUAAGCAUCGGCUAACUCCGUGCCAGCAGCCGCGGUAAGACGGGGGAUGCAAGUGUUAUCCGGAAUCACUGGGCGU